UGUACUGUUGUUGUUUGGGUUUUGUUUUCCUUUUGGUUAUAGGUAGGCGAGGCGGGGCUUGAUGGCAUUCCAACACACCUGCGACGCAUCGGACGUCAUCAGUGAGCGCUUUUAGGGAGCAGAGUCACGGACGUCUGGUGUCGGAGUAUUAUCGCUGUCACAAGUGCCUGUUCCAUCGCCUGCCCGCCUACCUAGGAUUUUGUGUUGGCUAUUCUGGAUCCGCGACGGAGUGCUACGUACCAUCAGGCGGCGAUCACCGCAGCGGCUGUGGUUUGGGUGGUCAAGUAGCUCCGGUGCGUCUGCUACCUACCUGUAUGCUUCGGCUCCAUCUCAUUGCCUCGGUGUUUUCCUGCUGGCACAUUUUUAUUUAUCACUGUAUAUAGCCCCUUUCCCUUGUAAAUAUUCCCCCUUACUUGUGUAUAUAUAAAACUUGCAUCACC
ensembl:lncRNA